rnacentral:rRNA from 1 species
UACAGAGGAUGCAAGCGUUAUCCGGAAUGAUUGGGCGUAAAGCGUCUGUAGGUGGCUUUUUAAGUCCGCCGUCAAAUCCCAGGGCUCAACUCUGGACAGGCGGUGGAAACUACCAAGCUGGAGUACGGUAGGGGCAGAGGGAAUUUCCGGUGGAGCGGUGAAAUGCGUAGAGAUGCGGAGGAACACCGAUGGCGAAGGCAGCCCCCUGGGCUAAGACUGACGCUGAGGCACGAAAGCGUGGGGAGCAAACAGG